rnacentral:rRNA from 1 species
CCGGACUCCUACGGGAGGCAGCAGUGGGGAAUAUUGCACAAUGGGGGAAACCCUGAUGCAGCGACGCCGCGUGAGUGAAGAAGUAUUUCGGUAUGUAAAGCUCUAUCAGCAGGGAAGAAAAUGACGGUACCUGAUUAAGAAGCCCCGGCUAACUACGUGCCAGCAGCCGCGGUAAUACGUAGGAUGCGAGCGUUAUCCGGAUUUAUUGGGUUUAAAGGGUGCGCAGGCGGCACGGCAAGCCGGCGGUCAAAGCCGGGGGCUCACCCCCGGCGAGCCGUUGAAACUGUCGGACUAGAGACGGCGAGAAGUACGCGGAAUGCGCGGUGUAGCGGUGAAAUGCAUAGAUAUCGCGCAGAACUCCGAUUGCGAAGGCAGCGUACCGGCGCCGGACUGACGCUGAGGCACGAAAGCGUGGGUAUCGAACAGGAUUAGAUACCCGCGUAAU